rnacentral:rRNA from 1 species
CACUANCCCNGNCUGGUGUUUNGNCNCUUNCGGGCUGNCAUUGCAUGCNCCCGUCUUCCCCGGUNANGACCGGGGAACGGGACCGCCACNGAGAACACCCUUAAACUCUGUAUUGCUAUAUGGUAACUUCUGGGCAAAACCUCUNAAAUAAUUCAAAACUUUCCACNAAGGAUCUCUUGGUUCCUGGCAUCUUNUGAAGAACGCAGCAAAAUGCGAUAAGUAAUGUGAAUCUGCCGAAUUCAGUGAAUCAUCGAAUCUUUGAACGCACAUUGCGCCCGCCAGUAUUCUGGCGGGCAUGCCUGUUCGAGCGCCAUUUCAACCCUCAAGCACAGCUGGGGGCUGGGACUCGCGUUAAUUCGCGUUCCCCAAAUUGAUUGGCGGUCUCGUCGAGCUUCCAUAGCGUAGUAGUAAAACCCUCGUUACUGGUAAUCGUCGCGGCCACGCCGUCAAUCCCCAACUUCUGUAUGUUGACCUCC